rnacentral:rRNA from 1 species
GACGAACGCUGGCGGCGUGAUUAACACAUGCAAGUCGAACGGAGUGGCGAACGGGUGAGUAUUACGUGAGUAACCUGCCCUCAACGGGGGGAUAAGCCGGGGAAACGGGGUUUAAUACUGCAUAGUUGGGGAUGGGCUCGCGGCCUAGCGGCUUGUUGGUGGGGUGAUGGCCUACAAAGGCGGUGACGGGUAGCCGGCCGGCGAGGGUGGUCGGCCACAUUGGGACUGAGCUACGGCCCAGACUCCUACGGGAGGCAGCAGUGGGGGCUAUUGCACAAUGGGCGCAAGCCUGAUGCAGCGACGCCGCGUGAGGGAUGAAUGCUUUCGGGUUGUAAACCUCUUUCGGUACAGAACGGGUAUGUGCAGAAGAAGCGCCGGCUAACUACGUGCCAGCAGCCGCGGGAAUU